UGGAGGACAGGCAGGUUUCCCAAAGCGCUCUACCGUGGGGGUUAGUGACUGAAGUGGGCUGGUCAAUCGGAAAGUCCUUUUCCCCUUGCUACGAGCUCGGAGAAAGCUCAGUACCCACAGCGCGCCAGACAAACAACCCACCACCCCAGGCUCUCAGGCCCCGCUGAGCCUCACGGUCCGCCCAGGGACAAUCGCGCCCAGCUCUGCCGCUGAACCCAUGCAAGGCCUGGCUGGGCUGACGUAGGCUCCAGGCGAGAAAUUAUUUCACAACUGUCAAGAGGAAAGAGCGCGCCCACUCCGUCAUUUCUAGGAAGGCCGGGGCCUGCCAGGCUGCGGGGGCGGACGGGAAGGACCGCACACUCCCCAAAACAACUGCAAACCCAGGAACAACCCGCGCACGCGCAACGCCCUCUGCCUUCUUGUGCUUGCGGUUGAGCGGCUCCCUCCGCCAGCUGCCGGAUCUAACUUGUGGGCCUUCUCGGCGCGCCGACUUCCGCGCCUGAGCGGCCGUGACGUAGCCUGUCUCCUCCUCUCGUCCUCCCGCGGCGCCGGUCUCUUGUGACGUCAGCAGCAGAAUCCUCUCAGUCUUGAUCUAGUGCUAAGUGAGGGGCGGGCCGGAUGGGCUGGUUGCCUGCUCCUCCCCCAACCUGAACUUGUUUUGUAAAGGAAACCUCUUGUAAUUUCCUAAGAUUUUAGAUUAAGUCUUUAAACUGUUCCCGUUUCCUAAUAAGGGAGAAAACGGCCCUCACCCUAGUUCCAGCUCCUUCCAAGCUGAGAGUUCUGUUAGAAUGGUCUGCAAACAAAACCUACAAUAUCUCUGAGGUACAGCUGGAGGAGUCUGGACUGACUUGCCAAGAUGGGGCCUGGUGUACUGCUGUGGUAUCCUCUGAUCACCUAGAAGAACCUUGAAGGUAGAGAAUCGUUCUUCCUCCUCAACAGUUGGCAUAGCCAGCAGGAUAAACUUUAGCUGGCUGGACACUGCUGCGGCUGAGAGAUUAUGGGACAUCUGACAAAAGCUGGCACGAGGGAAGAAUCCUCAUCACCACAUCAGCCAACUGGACCUCUGCCUGCCAGGUCUCGUGCAAGUGAAUGUGAUGACACAAUUGGAAACAUGGGCUAUAUCAUCAAGGCUUUGACGGGGAUGUCAUAUUUGAGGGAAACAUGCAUAGACUCAGAUAUGACCAAAUAGCUUUAAGGAACUGAAGUUGACUUAAUGGAGCUAAUAAAGCCCAUUGCAAAUAUCAGCCUGACACCUUGCUUACAGAGUAACCGGCAGCCUUACAAGAAUCAUUGAGAAUUAAAACAGACUUCUCUCGCUGAAGCCCUGCAAACUAAAUAUGAAUGACUUGAUAUAAACUUCAGGAAAAUCAGCACAAUAGAUAACAUAAAGGGUUUUGGUGUGGCAGGAGUUCAACAGGCCUGGAGUGCCCCAGCCGCCCAAGACUGGCUGAUAAGGUGCAGACUGUGCAUACUCAGGAGGCAGCGCUGGAGGAAUAUGGACUACCUUACGAGGGCUAAAUUGGGUGGCUUGCUAAGGAACUUCAAUAAGAGAUGCCUGGGACCCCAGCAAACAAACUCCCAAAUUCUAAAAUGAAGUCUUCAUGAGUUUGAAACUUCCCAGAAGAUCUCUGGAAGAUUUCAAGGGUUUGUUCUUCUCAUAAAAGAGAGAUGUUAAAGGCAGCAACCUCUUUGACCUUGGCUGCAGCAACUUCUUACUUGACAUGUCUCUGAAGGCAAGGGAAAUAAAAGCAAAAAUAAACUAUUGAGACGUCAUCAAGAUAAAAAGCUUCUACACAGCAAAAGAAACAAAACUGAAAGGCAACCAAUGGAAUGGGAGAAGAUAUUUGCAAAUGAUAUAUUGGAUAAAGGGUUAGUAUCCAAAAUCUAUAAAAAACUUACCAAACUCAACAUCCAAAAAACAAACAAUCCAGUGAAGAAAAAGGCAGAACACGAAUGGACACUUUUCCAAGACACAUGAAAAGAUGCUCAACAAUGCUCAUCAUCAGGGAAAUACAAAUCAAAACGACACUGAGAUACCACCUCAUACUGGUCAGAAUACCUAAGAUUAACAACUCAGGAAACAACAGAUGUUGGCAAGGAUGUGGAAAAAGGGGAGCCCUCUUGUACUUUUGGUGGCCUGCAAACUGGUGCAGCCACUCUGGUAAACAGUGUGGAGGUUCCUCAAAAAAUUAAAAUUACAAAUACCCUACUAUCCAACAAUUGCACCAUUAGGAAUUUAUCCAGAGAAUACAGGAAUGCUGACCCGAAGGGACACAUGCCCCCUAAUGUUGAUAGCAGUGCUAUCAACAAUAGCCAAAUUCUGGAAAGAGCCCAAAUGUCCAUCAACUGAUAAAUGGAUUAAAGAAGUGUGUGUGUGUGUAUACACAAUGGAAUUGUAUUACAAUGGACUACUACUCGGCCAUCAAAAAGAAUGAAAUCUUGACAUUUACAACAACAUGGAUGAAACUGGAGGGUAUUAUUCUAAGCAGAAUAAUUCAGAGAAAGAUAUCUUAUGAUGUCACUCAUAUGUGGAAUUGGAGAAACUUAAACGAUCAUAGGAGAAGGGUAGGAAAAAUAAAAACAGAGAGGCAAACCAUAAGAGACUUUUAAAUACAGAGAACAGUUGAUAGGGGUUGGGUGAUGGGCAUUAAGGAGGGCACUUGGGAUGAGCUCUGUGUGUUAUAUGUAACAGAUCACUGGAUUCUACUCCUGAAGCCAAGACUACACUGUAUGUUAGCUAACUUGAGAAUAAAUAAAGAGAUGUUAAUUAUGUUUAUUUGGUAUGUUAAA